CCCGGAAAGUUUACUCCAUGACUGACUGAUUCGUGUGAAUUCGCCAGCCAUCACAACAGUGUGAAGUGAAACUUCACACUAAAAACCACGCGGAAAAGUCGCCCGCCGUAUCGACUGUCCAAGUUGCCCCCCAAAGUUUGCAAGUGACGCACCCAAACUAGUUGCUUACAGCGAUGGGGAAAGUUCAGAAGAUGACGAUGGAGCUAUUGCAAUACCGAAAGCUACGUUAUCACGUCCAACGCUGAAUACGUCCAACAAUGCUGCUUCCUCGUCGCCGCAAAAUACGGCGAUUGUCGAAACUGCGACCCCAACCUCAUCAAAGCAGACGUCUAAAGUUGUUGCUGUCAGCUCAUUUACAACAGAAUUUCCUGCGCCGCCUUCCAGUCGUGGUACGAGCAAAGACGGCGGCGAUGACUCCACGCCACAAUCAGGGAAAGAUGCAGGGCUCCCCACAAAUUAAUCAAAGAAGAGGCUGGCGAAAUCGUAAACAGUGAAGUAACAGAACUAUGUAAGUUUUACACAAUUUAAUUAAACCCAAAACGGAAUGGUCGCCCCGUUUGCCAAACAAACUCUGGACAAAUUAGUCGAAAGAAUAUGUUGUUUUUUAUAUUUAUGCAUGCAUCAUUAGGAAUGUACCAGUUGUGACUCUCGAUAUUUUUAACACGAACACCCAAAUUUGUGAAUAUGGUGAUUAUCUAUCAAAAGUUAGAAAACUAAUGCCGAACACAAUUACAGUACAUCUUACUUGCAUUAUUAAUGUCAUCAAAUAUUACUUUCGCGAAGAUUGGAGCGCAUUAGAUAGUUGCAAGGCGUUUAUGUCGUGUAGAUCUUAUCAAAGGCAGUUGACGCGGCAAGCUAGAAUGAUCGCAAACCUCGAAUGAGGAAGGAUUGUGCAUAAAAAAGGCGUCGCAGAGAUUCUAUUUUAACCAUAUUUUAGUCACGCUUAGAAAUCUAAGAGCUAAGAUUUUCGAAACA